UGAAAAUAUAUAUUUAUUUUGAAGUUCUUAAUAGGGAAAACGUUUAUUGUGAUAGAAUCUUUUGCCAUCUGAAUCUCUCUCUCUGGCUGAAACAUGGACUCGUCAAAUUAAUUCAUUCAUUCAUAAUAAACCUCGGUAAAUAAACCACGAAAGAAUUAAGACGUGGGAAAAGAUUGAGAACAGCAGUUGCAGAUAAAACUAAUGCAAGAUUGCUGUUGCAAAAUUUCUGGAUUGAAGAUUGGUUGGACAGCAGCACUACCUUGAAUUUCAAAAAAAGUUGUCUCAUACAGAUAAAUCGAUCAAACACACUUCUCUAGAACCUGAAAGUGACAUUCUGUGGUAUGGUGGUGACUGGUGAAGAAGAAAGAAGUGACCUUGAAGAAAAGUCAUCAAUUCCAUCUUGCUGUGACCCAGAACAAAUGCUGGAUUGUGCAUCACACUGCUAUCCUUUUAACAAUUACCUUCCGCUUCCCUUUAACAAUGAACUGGAUCCACAGAAGGCUAAUGAAGGCUGUGCUGCUGCUUAUUACUGCCAAGGCAUACUACAGACUCUAUACAUCUUUACCUAAAGAGGAAGGAAAGGAAUAAGGAGUGAUCUCCCUUGCAGAUCCCAUUGAACUGUGCUACACUUUAACGGAAUUAUUUGACGCCAUCGACUGUACUGGAUUAAUGAAAGCAGUCAACCUAGCUUCUCAACGUUGCUUGAAGGAGACUUAGUCAGGAGCCCGAAUCCGUUGUGCUCCUUGAGAAUCUGUGAAAGCCGCCCAUCUUGACUCACGCGCCAUGAUAAAGAUCCAACAAAUAGCUACUUGAUGACGAAUUCCCAAGGGUUUUGAUAUUUUGGACCAAGAUGACCUUCGAUCGGGCGAAGAAAACUUUUUACGAGGCUAAAUCAAAUGUUAUGGGUCCACUGAUGCUCCGCCUUUUGUUGAUACCCUACUACGUCUAUGAAGGACAUGUCGAAGGAUAAACAUCUCGAUCUUUCUCAAUGCGUUGGAAGCGCCCGUUACAUUGAUAAUGUCCUCAUUGCGGUUUAAAUAGCUUCCGUUCACCAGAAAUUCAGCGUGAAAAUAAUUUUUGUCGAAGACUGCCUCUACAAUUUGGUCAACAAAGCCUGGAAUCUCCAGUACAAGGAUCAAAACAAACUCACAUUCAAAAUGGUGUAACUGGCGAAGGAGCUCAUUUGGUUUGGAUUGGACUCAACAGUUUCAACGUUGUUCAAGACUUACUCGUAAUUUGCUCAACAUCCUAGGCAGCGCGUCCAGUCUGGCUGAUGCCGAAUAUUUUCACAGAAACAAUCAAGGGUCAGGACAGCAUGCAAUAAUCGAAGAAAUGGAAACCCCUGACGGAGAGGGUGUGCUGUGGUCGUUGAGUGACAUAUUCACCGUCAUGACCACUUGCCCAGUUUAGACCUGGGAACGGCCGGAUUUGCCAAGUCUCCCAAGCAUCUUUGAUAAUCACCACACGGAAAUCAUGAGAGGUUCGGACUUCGAUAAAGUGAUGCCGAGUUUGGAAUCGUGGAUCAUCGAAUCAUUCAUUCGGCUGGAGAAGAUCUGGGUUCUCUCAGAUGACUCGGCGCAAUAACUCACACAUCUCAUCCAGCGGAGCAACUCGCUACUUCACACCCGCCAUUUAGGGAUCCAGCAAAGAAACCUUCACUGCUCUGCCGCAUAUUCCUCGGCGCACUACGCUUUCUAACCCAUUCUUAGCGACAAGAGAAGCAACUCAAAAGGAAAGAACCAAGGAGUGUUUAACGAGAUCUCUUUUUAAAUUGCCAAACGUCAUCAUCCCCACUCUUCGAUGGGCAAAGAUCGAGCGCGAGGAAUAUCCCGGCGUUCCAGGUGUUGCAAAACGCUUUUGGUCUCAACGCCUCCGCGCAUUUCGUCGCACGUGAAUGCAACUCCCAUCCGGCUGCUGCAUAACGCGGUUGGACACCUUUCAGGGCUGUCCAGGAGUCGUCACUUCUACUUGGGCGUCAGUCUUUUGCCCGCGGCCCAUCUUCACAACGAUGCAGGCCGUUGGAGGUCUGCAACAUCCUGCUGGGUCUGGUAGUCAUGGCGACAGACAUAGAUGGCCUCUACGCGUUGGUCAAGUUCAACGUUAAGCCCAGCAAGAGAUGGAACGCAUCUGCGGCUACCAGACGCUGACAUACCUCCUGGAACACCUCAAGACUUGGCUCAACAACCACAUCCAUCAUCUAUAUAUGAUCCUCGUCCUAAUCGGGUUCGAACAGCAUAACAUCAAGGCCACAAACGAGCCCAACAACAGCCUGGCAUUCGGGGACUUGCUGGCUUAUCUUGA